rnacentral:misc_RNA from 1 species
UCAAGGUAAAAUUAAAAAAAAAAAAUCUAUUUUUCUUGGUAACUAUUAAAGCUACGGUUACCAAAUUUGACACAAUGGUACUUUGUGAUAAAGCACUCCAGAACAUAGUUUGUAUGGUGAUCUUCACCCAAGAUCAAGGUCAAACAGGUCAAGGUUAAAGGUAAAAAAAAAAUUUUUUUUUAAAGGUUCAAAAAUCAACAUUUACAUUUUUCUUGGAGGCUAUUAAAGCUACAGUCACCAUAUUUGACACAAUGGUUCUUGUAGUAAGGUGUUUCAAAAAAUGUUUUAAAUAUUGACCUUCACUAAGGGUCAAGGUCAAGGGUCUAAAAGCAGCAUUGUCAUUUUUCUUGGGGGCCGUUAGAGAUGCGGUCACCAAAUUUGGCACAAUGGUAUUUUGCCGCAAAGCGAUUCAGAACAUAGUUUGUAUGAUGACCUUCACCAAAGGUCAAGGUCAAAGGUAAAAAAAAGUGUUUAAAAAAAAAACAGACAUUGCCAUUUUUCUCGGAAACUAUUCAAGCUAGGUUCACAAAAUUUAGCACAAGGUGCUACAAAACAUGCGUAUGGUGACUUUCACCAAAACUCAAGGUAAAAAAGAUCCAGGUCAAAGGUAAAAAAAAAAAAAAAGUGAAAAAUACAAACAUUGCCAUUUUUAUAGGAAACUAUUUAAGCUACUGUCAUUAAAUUUGGCACAAUGGUACCUUUAUUUGUACUGUGAUCUUCACCAAAGGUCAAGGUCACAAAGGUCAAGGU